UCCAAGCAUUUACAUCUAGCCCACCUUGUCAUCAUUCAGUGUCCUCAAAGAGCAGAAAUAUAAUUAUCCAGCUCAGAGAAAACAUAAAGUGAUUUUAAAUCACUGCGUGACACAAGAUGGAGCUGUAGAAUGCAGAAUUGUGCAGCAAUUCUGCAGCAAGAAAACGAGUGAAUUCUGAGGCAAAGGAGGAUGAAUCGUAAGAUGUCUGUGAAUAGAAAUCAACAAGCACACAUGACCAGUGCAAUAAGGUCUACUUUAUCAGCAAAAUAAUCUUAUCACCACUGGAAAUUUACAUAGGCUACUUACUAGAGGACUUUGGAGAGAUGGAUUGGGAAUGGUGUUUGCUGCUCACUGACAAGCUGGCAGAGCUAAAUAUAUCUGUCAACUCUUCAUUCUGUGUGGACUUUCAGUAACUGGAAUAUUGCUGAAAUCUGUGGUCUGGUUUCUGCUGAAAUACU